GAUGAACGCUGGCGGCGUGCUUAACACAUGCAAGUCGAACGGAAAGGCUCCUGCUUGCAGGGGUACUCGAGUGGCGAACGGGUGAGUAAUACGUGGGUGAUCUGCCCUGCACUUCGGGAUAAGCCUGGGAAACUGGGUCUAAUACCGGAUAGGACCACAUUUUGGAUGGUGUGGUGGAAAGUUUUUCGGUGUGGGAUGAGCUCGCGGCCUAUCAGCUUGUUGGUGGGGUAAUGGCCUACCAAGGCGUCGACGGGUAGCCGGCCUGAGAGGGUGUACGGCCACAUUGGGACUGAGAUACGGCCCAGACUCCUACGGGAGGCAGCAGUGGGGAAUAUUGCACAAUGGGCGCAAGCCUGAUGCAGCGACGCCGCGUGGGGGAUGACGGCCUUCGGGUUGUAAACUCCUUUCGCUAGGGACGAAGCGCAAGUGACGGUACCUGGAGAAGAAGCACCGGCUAACUACGUG
rnacentral:rRNA from 1 species